rnacentral:rRNA from 1 species
GAUGAACGCUAGCGGCAGGCCUAAUACAUGCAAGUCGGACGGGAUUCAGGAGCUUGCUUCUGAUGAGAGUGGCGCACGGGUGCGUAACACGUAUGUAACCUACCUUUAUCAGGGGGAUAGCCUCUCGAAAGAGAGAUUAAGCCCGCAUAAAAUCACAGCACAGCAUUGUGUAAUGAUCAAAUAUUUAUAGGAUAAAGAUGGGCAUGCGGAACAUUAGCUAGAUGGGGGGGUAACGGCCCACCAUGGCGACGAUGUUUAGGGGAUCUGAGAGGAUGGCCCCCCACACUGGUACUGAGACACGGACCAGACUCCUACGGGAGGCAGCAGUAAGGAAUAUUGGUCAAUGGGCGGAAGCCUGAACCAGCCAUGCCGCGUGCAGGAAGACGGCCCUACGGGUUGUAAACUGCUUUUAUACGGGAAUAAACCCAGAUACGUGUAUCUGGCUGAAUGUACUGGAAGAAUAAGGAUCGGCUAACCCCGUG